GCCCGCGUAGCUCAGUUGGCAGAGCAUUGGGCUAGUAUUCCAAAGGUCGUAGGUUCGAUUCCCACCGUGGCCA